rfam:Camelus ferus unplaced genomic scaffold scaffold749, whole genome shotgun sequence.
GGGAGAGUACAGCUCGGUGGUAGAGUGCAUACUUAGCAUGCAUGAGGUCCUGGGUUCAACUCUCAGCACCUCCG